rnacentral:tRNA from 2 species
AGCUUAGGUCGAUAUAGUCCCCAGCAUGGGGUGCUAGGGGUCGAGUGUUCGAAUCACUCCGUCCCGACCA